ensembl:lncRNA
GGAAAAGAAUCAUCCUGCUGGAGCAGCUCAUUCUCAGGAGGGGCAGAUGAGGGAGCAACCAGUCUGGUGUCUGUGGAUCAGAGGCAGAAAGCAAGAUGGAGGUCACUUUUGCAGACUCUUGCAUGUCAGGGAGCAUUUACUGUCUUCUUAAACAGACACCCCAUCUGUGCUUUGAGAAGACAAUUCUGGCCAGGUAGGAGGCGGAUGAGAAGCAAAGAGAGCACUUAGGUGGCUAUUUGCAAAUGAGGCAGAUCAGACCUGAGACCGUAGAUGGAUGCAGAAAAGGAGGCAAUAGGUUUCCCAAAUCUUACAGCUCUCUUUCUCAUCCUGUUGGUUGACACAUUCCAAAGGUGCAUCUGUGGGUAUUCAGAUUUCAUUUUGGUGGCACUGAGUAUUAGUUCAUAAGCAAAAUACAGUAAGCCCCCACAUAUGAAUCUUCUAGUUGUGAACUUUCAAAGAUGUGAAACUGUGUUCCGUCACCAUCAGGUGUGAGUAAAAUAGCAGCUUGCCCUCCAUCUCCUAUUGCUGAUGAACCUUCAGCUCCUCCGUCUCCCAUGCCCUCUCCCUCCUCCAGUCAGUAGCUCUUCUUGCCUGUUCACUCGAUGCCAGCCCCUGUAUGCCAGCUGUUGUACUGGACUACUCUACACUUCAAGUGCUGUACUAGCUGCAUAGAGAAGAUACUUUCUCUGACUAUGUUCCUUCAUACUCCUCAUGCCCUCCUUCCACCUGAGCAACUCUUCCGCUAGAGUUUGAGGCAACUUCUGAAAACGAGUGACCUCCUGGACUAUUCCGAAAGGGGUAGGAACCAUGUCUUAUACCCCUUGGCAUCACAGCUUUGAGCCUCCAAUCUACUUGUAAUACAUGAUGUAAUACCACUACAUGUAAUACCUUGAUGCUAACCCAAGGAAACGGUUCCAGAAAGGACCCUAUCACCUUUAGAGAAGGGGCAAGAAGAUGAGAAAAUGGGGGCCAACCCAAAAUCCAGAAAUACUCUAUUCUCUCUUCUCUCAGAUGGGAGCAAGACAGAGGUCAAAGUUUAUAUUUUCAAACUUAGAAAUCCAUCAUGUCAGAAGAAGAACUUGAGCUGCAUGAGUCUGAGAGCCUUUGAGUUCUCUGAAGCUAUGUAUGCUACAUACCUCGAUCAGAGAGAUUCCCUGAGAGAUACUUAUUAAUUUCUUCAACAACCAAGCAUUGGGGGGACACUCUGUCAUCAGCCUUGAACCAGCGGCUCCGUAGAUCACAGAAGAGAUUAAAUGUCCUCAUGUGUGAUUGGGAACAUUUGCACAGCUGAGAACGCACAGCAUGCUGAGGUGCCAGGUUGAGCCCAGUGACUGGCUGCCACAGUGGGCAGGACCAGGAGAGUCAGCCUGCCCUGCAAAGGAGAGCACUAAGAAGCUGCCUGUGGCCCACACUGUAGAGCCUGGAUUUGGAGUUGUUUCUUAAGCCUGGAUGGCUUUUCACUCAGCUCCUUUUGGACUCAGGCCAAGAGUGUCAAGGGGGUGACAGUCCCAAGAUCCAAGUGGAUAUCCUUUUCUCUCUUUGUGAAGGAAUGACUUAUUCAGGAGAGAAGGUACAAUCUGAGAAGGUCUUUGUGCUUGGCUUAAUACCCUAGAUUCACCAGCUUGAAAUUCCUAGUACUUUUGAACCAGGGAACCAGCAUGUUUAUCUUGCACCAGAAUAUGAGUCAGCAUUUGUUCUGAGCAUUCUUCCAAGCCUGAUGCCCCAGGAAGGACACUUUGAAUAUCAGCCCCAGAUUAAGUGUCAGAGACAUGGAGAUCCAGUUCUUGAGAACAAAACAAGAGUGAGCAAAGCCCCAUUCAGAACCCAUCCAUGCUGGUGCUCCUACUGUGAUUGAAAUCUCUGCACUUGAUCUAAGAUGUUAAGAGACUCUUGGGAGGAACUUGGUGAAUGAAGAUCCCAGCCUCUCUACUGGGGUAAUAAAAUGUGAGACAAAAAC